UGAGAUUGCUCCACUGCACUCCAGCUGGGUGACAGAGUGAGGCCCUGUCUCAAAAACAACAACAAAAACCCUACUAAGUAGGGCUCUCGAGAAGACUGAAUAAAAUAAUUCAUGUAACGUGCUUAGCACAGUCCUGGCACAUAGAACUGUAUAAUGCAUUUUCACUGUGCCCUUAAAUUCAUUUUCUUAGUUAACAUAACUCAAGAAGGUGAACAGGUGGCAUCCCAGUAUUUUGAUGGUGCAGAUGUGCAUGUGGGAUUCAGGGACUCUCGUGUUGAUUGAAGAUUGUGAGGUUGGCAUUAUAAGCUUUGGUGGGUCUUUCUCAAGCUCUCAGCAUCUCUGUGUGCUUGACACAGGCACUCUGUGGGCACACACUAGCUCUGUGGCCUUAUACAAAAUACCUAGGCUUUCUGAACCCUGGUGUUCCUUAAACAUAAAGAUAAUACCUUGUGAGAUUGUUGUAAGGGCUAAAUGGCUUAAGUGUUAAAGGAAAAAAGAUAACAAUUAGUAUGUUAGCAGAAAUUCCAGAAAUAAGCUAGAAAUUGAAAGUUUACUGUCAAAAGCUGCUUUGAGACAUUCAACUUUUAGACAUGAAUGACAUAAUCAUAGCAGGUGCACAAUAACUUAAAAUUUGCUCUCCUGCCACCUAGUUACCCUUCCAACCCAUUUAAUUGCCAUCAAAACCCUGUUGAACAGUCCAGGCGCAGUGGCUCAGGCCUAUAAUCCUAGUACUUUGGGAGACAGAGGCAGGAAGAUCACCUGAGGUCAGGAAUUCAACACCAGUCUGGGCAACAUAGCAAGACCCCAUCCAAGCUACUAGUGGGGAGCUGAGGUGGGAGGAUCACUUGAACCAAAGUGUUAAAGGCUACUGCAGUGAGCCACAAUUGGACCACUGCACUCCAGCCUGGACAACAGAACGAGACCCUGCCUCAAAACGAAAAAACAAAAACUGCUGAACAAAGGUUAAAACCCAAAUCUUGAAUGUUAUUAAAUAUCAAAUGUGCAGUUUUAAAUUUUUGUAAAAGUACUCAAAUUAGUAUUUUCUUACAUAUUCCUGCCUCCUGUUCUAUGCUUCAAGAAGUUAUCCAAACUCCAAGAUUAGAAAACUACUUACAAUUUUCUUCUUGUAUUUUUAUGGUUUCUAUUUUUUCCAUUUACUUUGCUACAUUUAUCUUUAAAAUUUUUUUUGGUGCGAGAUAUGAGGUAGGAAUCUAAAUAACUUUUGUUCAAUAAAAAGUAUUUAAUUAGGCCGGGCGCGGUGGCUCACGCCUGUAAUCCUAGCACUUGGAGGCUGAGGCGGGCAAAUUGCCUGAGCUUGGGAGUUCAAGACCAGCCUGGGCAACAUGGUGAAACCCCAUCUCUACUAAAAUACAAAAAAUUAGUCGGGUGUAGCAGCAGGCACCUGUGGUCCCAACUACUCGGGAGGCUGAGGCAAGAAAAUCGCUGGAACCCAGGAGGCAGAAGUUGCAGUGAGCUGAGAUUGCGCCACUGCACUACAGCCUGGGCAACAGAGCGAGACUCCAUCUCCAAAAAAAAAAAAAAAAAGGAUUUAAUUAAUAUUAAUAUUGGGGUUCUAUGGGACAAUGUAAAAUGCCACUCAAAAUAGUAAAAUAGCUUCCUUCCUAUUUGCACUAUUAGUCUAAUGCAGAUACACUGUAAAUAUAGAAAAAAGGUAAUAGGCAUUACAUAUUAUAUUAUUAUAGAGUCCUUAUAUACUAUAAUAGAGAAUGAAUUUUUCUUAUUUUACAGUUUUAUACUAGCACAGCACAUAACCACACCCAUGGAUAUUAAGGUAUUUUUGUACAUGUAUAUGAUUUUCUCUGAUGUUCUGGAACUUGACAGUAUUUCAAAUAAAGCAAUGAAACCCCCCCUGGAAAGGACUGAUUGAUGGCUUUCUCAUCCAACCCGGCCACCCUUCCCACUUCACUCAACCACUGUCCUGUUUUCUGCUCCAGGCUGAAAAGUAACCUCAUUAUCUCUUAAAAGGUCAGCCCAAAGAAGAUUUGAACUCUGUCUGAAAACCUGGGAGUUCUAUUUCUUCACUGAGGCAGGAAGAGAACUGAUGAGAUAGAAGUUGCAGAUGACCAAGUUUACUGAAAAUGGGUGCUGUGAGUGAAAGAAAGAGGAAUGGAUUAAAUUUAAAAUGACACUACUUCAGCCAUCUCAGCAUCUGGGUUGGUGGACAAAACUAGAGGACUGGCGUUUCUGGGGGCACGUGUCAGGAAGCACUGAUCUGGUGACUUUUGGAGGAAAAAGCUGGCUUAUUCGGGUCCAGUCAUCAUGGUCCAUUUACUGUUUUGUAGUACCUCCAGAAUUGUCUCUCUUUUCUAUCUAUUUCUCCCAAAAAUAGGAUUUCUCCUCUUUACAAAUGUCACAGAAGGAAGCUCUAAAGAGUGAUUUCCAGCAUCCAUACAAGUGAAAAGUUCAGCUCCCAAGAGGAGCAGACAACGUCCGCAAAGCAAACCAAGCAAGACCCAUGGGGCCAAGGCAUUAAGUGGUUUCUCAGGGUGGUGGAAUGUGGCUGCUUCCCUGCUUCUCCCAGAGAAGCUUUAAAUGUGUAGGUAACUUCCCAGACCACCAGAAGGCACCAACAUGGGAAAAACAGAUCCAGUCACUGGCCCAGAGAGUCAGAAAUCAGCCCAUCCAGGUGACCCCGCUUAGGCUCCUGUUCAUGCACUUGUCAAAGGCCAGCCCAGCCCAAGGAGGGGGAAAGAAUUAGACAGAGGAUCAGCUUUUUAUUUUCAUGUACAAAGCACUUGCCCUCGGGUUAUAAAUGUUAUUGCAUUUGUGUAGCACUUUACUGCUGCCCUCAGCUUGCAAGCAUCACAGGAUCCCAGUGGCAGUACUUUCUUAACCCUUGAUCAAUAGCUUAUUUCUAUCGCCUUCAGUCCCAGCUGCCAAUCCGUUCUGUAAAAUGUGGGAGGCAGACUUCGCUGCUCUCCAGCUGUACAUGUUAUGAAUGUAAACGGUGCAAGUAACAUAUGUAUUAUACGUAUGUGUGUGUGUGUACUGAGUGGGGGACAUGAGAUUUUUGAACAAGGAGUAACAAAAAUGGGACCCUUGUUCUGGGAGACUCCCAUACAGCUGGGAGUUUUCUUUCUAGUUUCUCCUUUUCUCUCUUUCUCUCUCUCUGAAACGAUGUGCUUGGUAUUCUGUCAUGUGGCAGGAGAAAUUCUCUCUUAAGUUUCUGUGUUUUUAUUUGAUAUAUAUUUGGGGGAAGGGGUGAAAAGUGGACAGAAAGAUCUAAGUUCCAAGAAAGAAAGGGUCAUGUCCAUCUUAUUUAUCACCCCUGUAGUCCCAGCACCUACACUGAGCCUAGCACAGAACAGGUGCUCAGGAAGUAUUUGUUGACUAAAUGAAUGAAUUCAGGAAUGGGAGGAUAAGAGGGCCCCAGAGCAAUCCUCUGGAGCUGCCUGAGCAAAGAGGCAAAGGCCUUGUCUUGCUGGCAGCAAGGGGGACCACAAAAGGUUUAAUGGGCAUCUACUUUAUUUAUUUUAUUUUUAUUUUUUGAGAUGGAGUCUUGCUCUGUCUCCAGGCUGGAGUGCAGUGGCGUGAUUUCGGCUCACUGCAACCUCCACCUCCUGGUUUCAAGCGAUUCUCCUGCCUCAGCCUCCUUAGUAGCUGAGAUUACAAGCACGCACCACCACGCCCAGCUAAUUUUUGUACUUUUAGUAGAGACGGGGUUUCACCACGUUGGCCAGGCUGGUCUCAAUCUCCCCACCUCGUGAUCCGACCACCUCGGCCUCCCAAAGUGCUGGGAUUACAGGAGUGAGCCACUGCUCCCGGCCAGCAUUCUACUUUAUUUAAGGCUCACUCUAGGCACCUUGGGAACCACAGAGAAAUGAGAUCAUAAGCAUAACCAGCUACUACUGUUCCAGUUUACCAGGGAGCAGAGUCAGCCAAGAAACCACUUGGGGACAAAUUCCUCAUCUCACCUUCUUUCCCUCACCUCUGAAGCUAGUUUUAAGACAAACGCACCCUAGGAGACACUUUGAAGGAUGAAGGAGGAUCCCAAAGCUCCGUGACAUCCUCCAGCUCCAGGAAGAUGACUCCAUCUCGCGGUAAGGCAGCCGGGACUGCCCUUGUCUGAACCUAUGUCCUUGAGGCUCAGCCAAACCUCUCCUUCUGUGGCAGAGGGAUGUUUAGGUGACAUUCUUCUCCCUGCCACUCAGCAUCUUUUAAACAAUCUUCCUCCACCUUGGGAGAAUAUGCAUGAACUCACUGCAGUCUGGGACCACGGAAGCUGAAAAUUGUCUUUCUCCCUGGGAGGGGAAUUGGUCACAAAGGGAAAAACCGACCUCCCCUGAAAAAUAAGAAUCUGGGGCCAGGCGCGGUGGCUCACACCUGUAAUCCCAGCACUUUGGGAGGCCGAGGCGGGCGGAUCACCUGAGGUCAGGAGUUCAGGACUAGCUUAGCCAACAUGGUGAAACCCCAUCUCUACUAAAAAUACAAACUUAGCCAGGCAUGGUGGCACAUGCCUGUAAUCCCAGCUACUCAGGAGGCUGAGGCAGGAGAAUCGCUUGAACUCAGGAGGCAGAGGUUUCAGUGAGCCGAAAUCGCACCACUGCAUUCCAGCCUGGGCAACAGAACAAGACUUCGUCUCCAUAAAAAAAGAAUCUGGGAUGACUGCAGGUUCUUUCAGGCAAAGUUCUUUUGCUUGCCAUGGUAGAAAUCCACGUCAAGUGGAAUUAGUGAAGGAGGGACCUCGUUGGAAGUAUAUCAGGUACGUUGCAGGGCAGGGGCAGUUGGCUCAGAAGGACCGGGUACCAAACCCUGGAAGAUGGACUCCCCAGGAAUCCUCAGAAGCAGCAACACCCCACGUUUGGCUGCUGUCAGCUGCACUUAAGUUUCCUCAGCCUGCUCGCCCCAGCCUCGGGGGCCUGUGGUGGGAGGGGAGGAGGUUGGCACAGCCCCUUGGCUCUGCAGCACACUGCCUGUAGUGCACCAUGAAUUAAUAUUUUUAAUAAAUCC
rnacentral:lncRNA from 1 species